UACGUAGGGCGCAAGCGUUGUCCGGAAUUAUUGGGCGUAAAGGGCUCGUAGGCGGUUCGGUAAGUCGGGUGUGAAACUCUGGGCUCAACCCAGAGCCGCCACCCGAUACUGCUGUGACUCGAGUGCGGUAGGGGAGCGGGGAAUUCCUGGUGUAGCGGUGAAAUGCGCAGAUAUCAGGAGGAACACCAGUGGCGAAGGCGCCGCUCUGGGCCGUGACUGACGCUGAAGAGCGAAAGCGUGGGUAGCAAACAGG
rnacentral:rRNA from 1 species